UUAUUAAAGGAUCAGAGCCCCGUUGUAACACCUAUAUAUAAUAUAUGUCUAGAAUACAUAUUAUACAUAGUGUAAAACUGGUACUGAAAUACAUAAGCGCCUAGCAGCACAGUGUACAUAUACUAAUACAUGCCCAAAAUAAAUACAACAUGGCACAAAAUGUACACAAAAUUGCCCAAAAUAAAACUACUGAUCUAGAUCAUUAGACAAUGAUCCCCAAAAUAUAUACACAACGGAAAGUAAAGCCAUUAGUCAUCAGGUAAGCGAGACAUCACUCUAUCUUGCACUUACCCUUCUCCUGCUCAGAACCACCUGAAAAGUAAUCAACAACAUAGGGUGAUAUAAUAAUCUCAGUGGGUUCCCUAUCUUAUGGGUCCACUUGGCUCUAUAGGGUUUUCUAAUCAAUACUCAACUCAUAUCCAACUCAAGUCAACAAGGGAACAAAGACUUGAGCGAUGGGGAAACUAACUCGCAAUGUAUGGCAACAUGCACCUGAGUUCUCACAACUCAACCACGAUCAUUAUUAAGAUCAAGAAACAUCAAUUCCUGAACGGACUUACGUCUAAGCCAGGCCCGGUUCAUGCAUGCUCGUAUGAUUCGACUUUCACGGUGGAUAUCGGGUCCUCUAUGAGGCUUAAUCCCCAGUUUAAGCGUCCGUCACCCGUAUGGGAAUCUAACCCACUUAGGGUCUCUUUCAUCGUAUGGGAAUCCAACCCAUUUAGGUGUCCACCUUUCCCCCACGUCCGCCGUGGUUGGGGCUCAAACCCAAUUGAGGCUCGAAUCAUCGGUCUCACAUCCCAAUGCUAACUCAUUUAAGCAUACCAAAUAGAGAUAUGCACCGUCACAGAAAAUACACAUUCUAAAUACAUGAUCGGUUCCACAAAACAUUGGUUCCACGAACUAUAACAAAAUCCAUCAAUCACAAGUGACUUCAUUCACCAUAAUACACAAAUAAUAACAUGACAUAUUCUAUACAAUGCGUAUCAUUCUCAAUCAUGGCAACAAUUCGUCCACGACCUCCACAUAAGCGUCGUACGAAUGAAUAUCAUAUUAUCAUAUUAUCUAGGUUAUAAACCUAACUCGUGACCUAAUUUCAAUCCUAGGUUAACUCACUAGAUUCAUCAUGUAAUUUUCACCAUUAGCAUGUACUCAACAUAAGCAUAGAAUCACAAUUGAUUAAUGGUUGGAAGAAUGCAUUUAGAAACACUUAAGAAAUGGAUUUUGAAGUUUUUAACUUAAGUCAAUCGAUUGGUUCCUCUCUGUGACGGUGUAUUCGUCGCUAUAUGAUUUAUUGAUUAAACCAUAAGCAAGAGAUACAUUGAAAUUUCGAGUCGCCACCGCACUUUUAUUUAUCCAAAGGAUUGGCUAAAAAGCGAACAAAAGCCUAAGAAGUUUUACACGUAGAAAACUAAUAAAANAAACUUCAAAAAAGGGGGAACGGGACAAAGGGGAGGGGGGAAAAAAAAUUUUAAGUUUCCCAAGAUCCAAGCUUUUGGCCAAAUCUACAGCCACGUUUUUGCUUUCUCGUUUCUUGUUUAUGUGAGGUUGCACUGUUAAGUUCCGCAAGUUGGAUUUGCAUUCUGUGAUCUCAUAUUGUUGCUUUUGUUCUUGUUAUGUGGGAUCAUUGUAAGUCCCUGUAUGUGCAUGGAUUUCCUAGCCAUGCUGUGGAGUUAACCUAAGUCCAGACAGAUUGGCAGUUGAUUUCCAUUUCUCAUCUUUGUUUUCUUUUGAGGAGAUUAGUGUAAGUCCAUAGAGUGGCUCUGAGAUCCAGUUUUAUUUUAGGAGUUGGUAUAGCCAGUGAUUGGCAUCCGAUAUCCGCUUUCUUGCUUGUUUGUUUGUUAUUAUCUACUUCCAUUCCAAAGGACACACUUGAAUCAUCGCUAAUUAUUUCAUGAUCAAGUACACUCUCUCAAGAGAGUUUUCUUUCCAUCUUCAUCCAUUCAUUCCUCCUAUUUAUUCUUUUAGAAUCUUUCUACAAUUUUUUGUUUUUUACUUUUCAUUUUUCUUCUAUAAAUCUUUGUACUAUUAUUAUAGUUGGUUUUGUGCUUAAUUAUCAUUUUUUCUUAUGUUUUUUAUACUAAAAUUAUCUCUUGUGACGUUGAUUCCGCAAGUUCUUUUGUACUUUUUCUUUUUUUCAAUCUUCUCAUUUUCAUUAAUUACUUUUUCUUUCUAAAUUCAAUUCUUUAUAAUUUUCUAUUAUCUCUCUUGUCUUCUACUUUUCAUUUAAUCUUACAAUCUUAUAUACUUGCUAUCUUUCUCUUCAUUUUUACUUUGUUUUGGUCUCUUGUCUUCAUUUUGUUUAUUUUGUCUUUUUUUCUUUUUUGCUCAUUUUAUGCUCUAUGUUUUCAUAUUUUACUAUUGUUUUGUGUUGAUGUAUUUAAUUCUUUGCCUAAUCUCUAGUUGUAUUUCUCUUCGUAUCUAUUAUUUAUGUUAUCUUUCUGUUAUGCUCUUGAUUUAUAUACUUCUAUUGUUCUUAUAUUAUCUUUUCCUCUUUUUCUUAGAUUUUCUCUCGAACGCUUUAUCCCUCGUCAUUUGUGUUUUUGAUUGUUUGUUUUUUGGUUCGUUCUUUGUGUUUCUUAUCUCCUUUGUAUUAAUGAAAGCCUCUAUUUGUGCUUUAUGUAUAAAUUUGUAUAUCCGUAUCCAACUUUUGUGUAAAUCUUUAGCCGAACUACGGCGCUCUUUAUUCUUCUUACUCUUUGAUUGGAAGGUUUACGUAGGCAAGCGGCGUUCAUUUUUCCGUUCCAAUACCCAAUAAUCUCAAUAAUCAUAAUGCUCAUCAUUUCCUUUUCCUUCAUCAUCCAUUCUAUGUGUUUGUGUCAUUCAAUUAUGUCAUAAUCAAUAAUCAUCUUUUACAAUCAGUGUGAUUAAUUAUUGGUGUCUCUUUUUAGUAGUACCUUAUGUUGACUGUAUUGUGGUGGCCCUAAACACCUCCCAAUGGCCGGGAAAUUUACGCCUUACCCAACAACCCCGGCCAGAAUCUCUGAUCUUUUUUAAUUAGUUUUCUAGCGUGUAAAAUCUUCUUCACUAAUCUCCUCAAACAAAGAAAUAAAAGGCGGAUACCGGAUACCAAUAGAUGGAUUUACACCAGUCUCCUAAAACAGAACAGGAUAUCAGAAGCCACUCAAUGGUCUUACACUAAUCUCCUCAAACAAAGAAAUGAAAGGCGGAUACCGGAUACCAAUAGAUGGAUUUACACCAGUCUCCUAAAACAGAAAUGGAUAUCAGAUGCCACUCAAUGGACUUAUACUAAUCUCCUCAAAAGAAAACAAAGAUGAAAUAUGGAAGUCAACUGCCAAUCUAUCUGGACUUAGGUUAACUCCACAUAUGAUCACAGGAAAACCAAUGCCACGUUACAGGGACUUACAAUGGAUCCUCACAUACAAGAACAAAAGCAACAAAUGGUCACAGGAAUGCAAAUGCCAACUUACAGGGACUUAUAAUUGCAACCUCACAUCAACAAAGAAAACAAACUUAUGAUCACAGGAAAGCAGAUGCCAACUUACAGGGACUUAUAACUGUAUCCUCACAUACAAACAGAUAGAACCAAUUAUGAUCACAGGACAACAGAUGCCAACUUACAGGGACUUAUAACUGUAUCCUCACAUACAAAUCAAACAGAUCAAAUUAUGAUCACAGGACAACAGAUGCCAACUUACAGGGACUUAUAACUGUAUCCUCACAUACAAAUCAAACAGAUCAAAUUAUGAUCACAGGACAACAGAUGCCAACUUACAGGGACUUAUAACUGUAUCCUCACAUACAACAGAUAAAACAGAAGAUAUGAGUGACCGAUGAGGUCUUACACUCUAUCCUUCCAUAUCAUAGGAGCAAAUGCCAAAGCAAUGGACUUACAAUUGUCCUCAAUGGGUAAACAACAAUGAUAAGAGUCACACAGACAAAUGAUAUGAUCAUGCACUAAUGGCAAUUGAUGAUGAUAAAUGCAUAACAUACAAGCAAACAUGUGCAUAUGAAGCGAUCAAUCAAUCAAUGAAUAUCAAACAGCACACUCUAUAGCCAAACAAGGAGGCUCACACAAGAGGGUUUGACUAUGAAAGUCCACUGUAAUAGGUAAAAAGUUGCUCUUAACCUUGCCAUUGAGAGGCUAAGGUGAAGCAGAUGAAAAGGAGAUGAGGGGUGUGCCUCAUUGCUUCUAUCCCUAAUCAGGGAGAGCAUAUCAGAAAGUGUGGGAGUUCAGAAAGUAGGAACUCUCUCCACAUUAUUGACUCGAUAGAUUUUGGGUUUUUAUCUCAAUGCUUCAACCAUGUAAUGGGAGCAAAGAGAGGACUCACUGAAUAGUAGGGGAUAGGCUACUUAUCCCUUUGAUCUACCAAUUGCCUUACUUGAAGGACUUUUCCUGCUUGGNAAUGUGCAUACAUGUUAGGAAACCAAUUACCAAUUAAAAUCCAGCCAAUGAAAAAUUAAUUAAAAAUCAUAAUCAAAUACUAGACAUCCAUGUGAAGAUGAUGCAAAAAUUCUCAUGAUUUUUGGAUGAAUAAUGAAUGAGAAAUGAAUUGUUGAAGUUUGAUGAAUAAUUGGAUGAAACAUGAAACACAUAGCAUGGUAUGGAGUCAACACAAAGUCAGCGCAUGGCAAUGUUGUAAAUAUGUAUUUCAUUUAGCAAAACGCACAGUUUUGGGGAAGGAAAUGAAAUGUUCUGAUUGGUCCUCACCAAUAGAACAGUAACUCGGCCAAUCAUGUUCAAAUUUUCUGGUUUUAGAAACCCUUAGGGUUUAUGCAGCAUGGUUAACUUGGUUCAUCAACAAAUCAAACACGAUACAACAGCAUGGCCAUGAAAAAUGAAUCAUGUAAUCACAAGCAAACACAGCAGUCAAUCAUGUUCAAUAUUUCUGGGCAGCCUUAGUUUUUUUAGAAACAGCAGCAGGGCAUUCAUGGCAACUUCAUGCAAGUUCAUCAACAUCAAAACAAAUUCAAACACCAUCACACAACAGCAUGGCAUUAAGUAAUGUUCACACAGCAACCAGACAACAACAUACAACACAGUUCAUAUGGAUUUUCUGGGCAGGGUAAGGUUUAACAUGAACAGCAUACAUUCAUCAUCAUCAUGCAACUUGAAAUUUCGAAAUGUCCAGAAAUCCAAAUCAAGUAUACCAAUAGCAUCAUUAAACAUCAGGCAGCACAAAUAUGGUGUCCAAAUUCAUUAAAUCAUCUUAGACAAACCAAAUCGAUGGGAAACAUGUUUGUACACAAAAAUGAAAACUCAGAUUUAACACAGCAUAGCUAACCAAUUAAUGUGAUUCAAGUUGCAGUGGAACAAGCAUACCAAGACCUAUCUAAAACAUCUCAUGAUUUGGUAAAUGGUGAGGGUCGAUUACUUACUUGAUUUUUAAGAAAUGGAGGAAACAGGGAUGAUUUGAUGUUGUGAGUGCAAACAGAUGAAGUUGAGGGUCGAUAAUGAAGGAUGCUUGAAGAACCUUGGCUCAGUAGUGCUUGGAAAACUUCACAGCUCUAACUGCCAUUGUUGUGUGCUUUGAAAAACAGAGUGAGAAGGAGGCUGCACAGGUGAUGAAUGGUGGUUCAAAGGAGCUCCAAAUGUUGGUCAGAGCAUGGAGGAAGCAAGAGUCCUCGAGGUUUUUUGGAACUUUUGAGCAGAAAUCCAAAAUCGUCCAAAUUGCAAGUGAGAGAGUUUCUGGUUUUUGUGUUGUGUGGCUGCUGUUUUUCUAGGGUUGAAAUGAGCAGAAAAGUUGCUUAAAUAUCCCUGUUUAACAUCUGUAAUCCAUGUGCUAAAUUGGUUUAGUUCAAAUGAGGUGACUUGCCAAAAUUGCUAAUUUUGCAUAAGUGUAUAUGGAGGGUGCAAGCUGGCACGAAUGGGCUUGGAAAACAGGCUGUAAACAGACCUUUUUCUGCUGUUUGAACUCUGCUCAUGAAUUGCUCACUUGGUUUUGCUUAUGUGAAGCCAUUUGCAAAAUAUGCCAACAUUGCACCUUGGUCAAAAUAGUAGUAUGAUGGUGGUCAUGCACAAUUGCGACCUUGGUAAACAAAUUCUCAAAUGACAUAUAAUCCCAUUGCCCAAACAAAAGAUGGUUUGGUCCCAACCCAACUAACCAAACAUGCAUUUUGAUUGGCACGGUUUGGUCAUGAAUUAUUUUUUGGAAAGGAGGAGGAAAAACUGUGGUUGUAGGAAAAACCCCACACAAAUUUGGCCUAUGCGUCUUCUGGUAAUGGCCUGUGAUAAAUUCCAAAUUUUGAAUUGAAUUGAUUCGAUAUUUGACCAAACCACACAUGGAUUGAGAGUUCUUGACUUUUUGAAAAUGGAGAACACAGAUUUCACUUCUGUGGGGCAAAAAUUCAUUUGAAGCUUGUUCAUGAUGUAAGUUGAGGUUCAGAAAGUUUUCCUUUUUCAGUUGAAAUUUACAGUCCAUCUUCUGUUUGAAAUUUUUCUGAUUGACUUGAUUUCUUCCAUGAGAGGUUGACAUGAAGAUGAGGCUUCAUAUAAGCAAUGAAGAAGCUCCUUCAAGAUCAAUUCUAUCCAUCAAAAAAAUCACUGAAUUAACAUCCACAGUUGACCAAGUUUUGACUUUCUGUUGACUUUCUAGGGUUUGCAUGAUUGAUACCACUUCCUGAUGAAUCCAAAUCCCUAAUUCCCUAGAACUUGAACUUCAAAAAAACAUGAUGUCCAAAAGUUGUAUGAACUCUUGAUUAUUGUCAUGGUGCCCAAUCGUGCAAAAAAGGCAACCCAUGCCACUGAACUUUGCACUGACUGUUGACUGUCUUUGACCUAAGCGGUCGAUUGCCUUCAACUAGCAAGCCAACAAGGUUAGACUGACAAUAUUUUUGUACUUUUUGGUUAGUAGACAUAUGAAAGGCAAAAAUAUACAAAUGCAAAGCAUGCUUGGUGAUCAAGAAUCAACCCACAAGGCAACCUACCCACUAGGAGGGAAGCUAAGGCAUGCAGUGAUCCUUGAGGCCAUGAUAUGAUAUGAUAUGGGCCAUGAGGGAUCUUAGGGCCCAAAAUUGGGGUCUUACACUCUCACAUUUCUGUUUUUUCAAAAUAUGAUGAGGAUCAAUCGAUUGAUCCUGAGUGUCAAUCGAUUGACUCAAUGAAAAUUUUCCACUGUUCAUAUACAACAAAUUUGUUCAAUCGAUUGUAAUGCAGUGUCAAUCGAUUGGUCCUGCUAAAAUUACAUUUUUUCUGCAAAACAAAGGGUUGUCAAUCGAUUGAUGACAGAGACCAAUCAAUUGGUCCACUCUCAUUUUCACUUUUUCACUUCUCAGAACACCAUUUUUCCCUUUUAAACCAUUUCCAACCAACCCACACUCCUUCUUCCAACCCAUCCAUCUCACUACAUGCUCAGAUACACAUGUUAAACAAGAAUUCCAAGUUCAUAACCACAAGGAUUUCAAGGUCAUAACACAACCACAACAAAUCAUGUAAUCACAAUAAUCAUGAAGAACAUAUCAAGCAUGUGUUCAUAAAAACAACAAUAUCAAGAGAAGUAUUCAUCAUAUAGCAUGGAUUAUUCAUUAUUAUUUAUGAUUCUACAACCCUAAUCUUCUAGAAACCUAGGGUUUCUAACUAGAACCCACCUCAAGAAAUUGAAUAGGAGAAGUUUUUGAAGAUGAGAUGAGGAUAAAGAUGAUGGUGUUGGUUCCAAACUCUUGAUCUUUCCAAGAUUUCCUUCUUCUUCUUCACUAGCUUGUUUCCUCUUCUUCUAUCUUUCCCUUUCUCUCUACUUAUCAUUUCUGAUACAUUGAGAAAACAUUUGGCAUGUGGGUAGUUGGUAUAUGAUACAACAUGUGGUGGUGAGUGAGUCAAAGAUCAUAAACAAGUGGCCAUGAAAAAUAUAUGUGGUUAGUAAGUGGUUACAGGUAGUAAAAAAUAUCUCAAGUAGCACCAUACUUGUAAUAUUUGUUCUACUAGAGCUAUUCACCCAUUAUUAGUGUUACCAAAAUGUCCCAAUUAAUAAAAGGUCAGUCCUAAUUAAUAUUAAUUAAGUCAAUAUGAACUCACUAUUUACUCUAUUUAUCCCAAUCGGCAACUUUUAGAGCACAUAGAAACUCAAGUGACCUCAAUUAAUAGAAAUUUAGGCAUUUAAGGAAAUAAGGGGUAUUACAUCCUCCCCCCCUUAAAUAAAAAUGCGUCCUCGAAUUUAAAUAUUACCUAGAAGAGAUGAGGGUAAACUUCCCGCAUUUCUGACUCCAGUCCCCAGGUAGCAUCACCCGGAUGUGAUUCGUCCCAUUGAACCUUACCAAGAGGAAUAUCCUUAUUCCUUAAUACCUUAACUUCUCGUCCUGCAAUGCGACUUGGUAGAGGUUUGAAAGUCAGAUCUGCUUCUACUUCUAUUGAAGUUGGAAGAAUAGGCUGAAGAGAAUCUGGAAUAAACUUUCGAAGUUGAGAUUUGUGAAAAACAUCAUGCAUUUAUGAUAGAGAAGGUGUUAAAGCUAAUCGGUAGGCUACUUCUCCAAUCCUCUCUAUAAUCUGGUAUGGCCCUAUAUAUCUCGGACUUAGCUUUCGUGACAUAAAUGGUCCUUUCAGUCUCAACCUCGGAGUCACCUUCAUAAAAACAUGGUCACCUUCAUCAAAUUCCAAUGGUCUUCUUCUGUGAUCCGCAUAGCUCUUUUGUCAAUCUUGUGCUUGCUUCAUCCUAUCGCAGAUCAUCCUUAUCUUUUCGGUAGUCUCUUGAAUAAUCUCCAGCCCUAAGAUCCUUUCUUCACCAACUUCCGUCCAACAUAAAGGUGUUCUACAUUUCCAUCCAUACAAGGCUUCAUAAGGAGCCAUCCCAAUACUUGCAUGAUAACUAUUGUUAUAUGCGAAUUCAAUCAAUGGUAAAUGGUCCUUCCAAUUCCCUCCACUUUCAAGUACACAAGCUCUUAACAUAUCUUCCAGUGUCUGUAUCGUCUGUUCAGUCUGACCAUCCGUUUAAGGAUGAUUAGAAGUACUCAAACACAAACUCGAUCCCAUAGCUUGUUGGAAUGCUUUCCAAAACCUUGAAGUAAAUUUUGGGUCUGUAUCGGACACAAUGCUAGUUGGUACACCAUGCAACCUAACAAUUUCUGAAAUGAACAACCGUGCAAGAUGACUUGCCCUGUAAGUAGUCUUCACGGCCAAGAAGUGCAUGGACUUAGUCAACCAAUCCACUAUCAUCCAAAUUGAAUCAUAACCACCUUGGGUCCGAGGUAACCCUACUGCAAAAUCCAUUGAAAUAUUAUCCCAUUUCCAAACUGGAAUCUCUGAUGUCUGAUAUUUACCUGCUGGCAUACAAUGCAUUCUAACACAUACUCUGCAAUAUCUCUUUUUAUUCCAGGCCACCAAUAGUCCUUCUUCAAGUCUUGAUACAUCUUCGAUGAACCUGGAUGUAUAGUAAACGCCCCUUUGUGAGCUUCCUCCAAAACUUUUCUUUUCAGCUUGACAUCAUUCGGAAUACAAAUCCUUUGAUUAAACAGAAUGACUCCAUCUGGUGACGGAGUGAAACCUGGUUGAAUUGACAUCUCUUGCAACUUCUCAUCUAUCAAUUGUCCUUGUCGGAUCUCUUCCAUUAAGUUAGAAGUAACAUUCAAAUUUCCCAUCAUCACACCAUCCUACGUCCAACUAAACUGAAGAUUAAGAUCUCGGAACUUUUCCAACAAUGUGUAUUCUAACAUCAUCAACUCAGCUUUAUGUAUCUCUUUCUGACUUAAGGCAUCCGCAACCUGGUUCGCCUUCCCCGGGUGAUACUUAAGCUCAAAAUCAAAGUCCUUCAAAUACUCCAUCCAUCUCCUUUGUCUCAUGUUUAACUCUUUCUGGUCGAAUAACUAUUUCAAACUCUUGUGGUCAUUAAACAUCUCAAAAUGUACUCCAUACAAGUAAUGUCGCCACACUUUCAAUGUAAAAACAACAACAGCUAGUUCAAGAUCAUGAGUCGGGUAGUUCUCUUCAUGAGGUUUCAACUGACGAGAGGCAUAUGCUACAACCUGAUCAUUCUGCAUUAACACCCCUUCUAAUCUUUUCUUGGAGGCAUCACAAAAUACUUCAUAAGACUUACUAGAAUCGGGGAUGACUAAAACAUGAGCAGUCGUUAGCUUCUCCUUCAAACUCAUAAAACUCUUCUCACACUUUGAAUCCCACCUGAAAGAAAUUUCCUUUCAGGUAAGUCUAGUCAUUGGUAAUGUUAUCUGCGAAAACCCCUUUAUAAACCUUCGAUAGUAACCUGCCAAACCUAAGAAACUUCUGACUUCAGAAGCAUUCUUCGCUCUUUCCUAAUUAAUAAUUGCUUGAACUUUAGAUGGACCCACUGAUACUCCUUCUUGUGAUAUUACAUGACCAAGGAACUUCACUUCGUUCAUCCAAAAUUCACACUUACUUAACUUGGCAAAAAGUUGCUUCUCCUGCAGUACUGAUAGGACAAUCCUUAGGUGUUCUCUGUGCUCUUGAGGAGUACGAGAAUAAAUAAGAAUGUCACCAAUAAAGAUCACCACGAACUGGUUGAAGUAAGGUUGAAAUAUUUGAUUCAUAUAGUCCAUGAAAACAGCUGGGGCAUUUGUUACACCAAAUGACAUUACAAGGAACUCAUAAUGGCCAUAUCGGGUUCUAAAUGCGGUCUUUGGUACAUCCGAACUCUUAACUCUUAUUUGAUGAUAGCCCGAUCGCAAAUCAAUCUUCGAGAACACAUAGCUCCUUUCAAUUGAUCUAACAAAUCAUUUAUCCUUGGCAGAGGAUACUUUUUCUUAAUGGUGACUUUGUUCAACUGGGGAUAAUCAAUACACAACCGCAUACUACCAUACUUCUUCUUUACUAAUAACACUGGAGCUCCCCAUGGUGAGACACUAGGUCAGAUGAAAUGCUUGGUUAACAACUCUUCCAAUUGAUUUUUCAACUCUCUCAACUCUAGUGGCGCCAUGCGAUACGGAGAAAUGGAGAUUGGAGCCGUCCCAUGUAUUAGAUCAAUAGAGAAUUCCACUUCCCUUUCAGGAGAAAGAGAGGUGACAUUCUCAGGGAAAACUUCCAGAAAUUCACAAACAACAGGAAUUUGUGUAACACUCAGAUUAUCGCUAGAUUCCUUGGUGAGAACCAAGAGAACUGACUUUUCAUUCUUAAAUAAGAAAUUAACCAUACCAACCAUACCUUCCAAGAUAGUAGUUAAUACAUCCUUUGGAGUAGCUUCACUAGAUGGAAUGAUAAUCAACUUCUCUUCACAUCCAAUAAACACCGAAUUAGCGGAAAGCUAAUCCAUUCCCCAAACCACACCAAACUUCUUAAGUGGUAAACAAAUAAGAUCAAUCUGAUAAAUAAUACCAUUCACCGAGAGCGUACAAUUUUCAUAAAUCAACGGUGUCUCAACCACAUCAUUUGUGGCAGUAGUAACCACCACAGGAGGAGACAAGGGAAUUGCUUGCAAGCCAAGACACUUCAUGCACUGAAUUGAUACAAAAGAGUGUGUCGCUCCACAAUCAAACAAUACAAAACAAGGAUGAUUAUUGAUGAGACACGUACCAGAAAUUAAAGCAUUGUUGCUCUUAUCCUUCCUUGUAUCGAAAGUAUAAACUCGACCGACGCUCCUCCCCUGCAUCUAAUUCUUAUUCUGAGGAAAUUCCCUAGACAUGUGACCUUCUCCUUGACACUUAAAACACCUAAUUAAACUUACAACACAUCGCCCAAAAUGAGACUUCUUACAUACUUGACAUUGAGGAGGUUGGUUAGGUCUUGCAUGUUGCACCUGUUUUACUUUAAAAGCCUGAGAUCUAGGCUUAAACUGGCUACAUGGCCUCCCUUGGUGUCUCUGUCCACUCCUAUAUUGAUGCCUUUCUUCUUGAACUUUCUUCAAAUUAUUCUCAGACACAUAGCAUUGCCUUAACAAUUCAGCAUAAGAAGUGAAUUCCCUUUGAGAUACACUAUGAGAAAUUUCACCCCUUAGACCAAACAGAAACUGAUCAAUCUUCCACCUCUCAUCAGGUGCUUACACGACUUGCCUAGAGUAAGCAGCUAUAUCUUCGAACUUCUCGGCAUACGUAACUACUGACAUAGUACCCUGCCUAAGCUGUUGAAAUUCAAACUCUUUCUGAGUCCUCAAAGAACUAGGAAAAUACUUAUCGAGGAAAAUAGUAUUAAAAUGCUCCCAAUCCCUAGGUAUUCCUUGAUUGGUCAUAAGAGUCGAAGUAUUCUCCCACCAUCUCACAGCUGGACCCUUCAUCAUGUGAGAAGCAAACACAACCUUAUUCUCUUCGCUAUAAUGCAUUAUCUAAAAAAUCCUUUCCAUGCUGGUUAUCCACUCCUGAGCUUUCACAGGAUUCAGCCCACCAUGGAAUUCAGGAGGACUCAUACGGAAGAAAUCUCGGAAACUACCACCUGCAGCUUCCUGUGGAACCCCUUGAGGAUGCAAACCACCAUUCCACUGUUGCGUCAUCUGUUGCAUGAAUUGGUUCUGUUGUUGUUGCAUAUGUUUCAUAAAUUGAGGCCAUUGAAAACCUUCACUACCACUUAGCGGUUCAGAGUCUGAAUUCUGGGUUCUGAGUCUACCACGACCUCUGCGUCUGUCAGUCAUGAUCCUGAAUGUCAUACAAAUAGGAUUAUGUUGAUCAGGCUUAAUACUAUGAAUAUAACACCAAGGACAAUGAUGACAACCCACAUAUGAGGCAGAAAGAAAUACUUAUAAUAUUUCAUGGCUAGGUCGAGGAUACUUUCUUAUCCACCACACAUACACAUACUAUGUGUCGCAUCUCGAAAAAUACAAUUCCUCGCGAUGGUCACGGAAAAAAUUAUGUUCGAACAGAGUCGCCACCGAACUUUAUUUAUCCCAAUGAAGGAAUAGGAAAAUAUCGAUAAAACCUUUUUAAAAAAAUGGAAUAAUGGUCGUCGCAACCAUAUUCGGGUUCGAGGAAUAGGAAAAUAUCGAUAAAACCUUUUUAAAAAAAUGGAAUAAUGGUCGUCGCAACCAUAUUCGGGUUCGGGAGUCGAUUACGCAAGGGGAAGGUAUUAGCACCCCUCACGUCCGUUGUACUCAAUGGGAACCUUUUAUUCUAAUUUGCUAUUUGAAUGUUAGUUAAAUGUUAUUUGCUUUCUUCGAGUAAUUAGAGUUGAUAAUAGAGAUGGAUGAAGACCUUAGAAGGGGAAAGGGAGGUUUUUUAUUAGUGUGCUCGCCAAAAUCUCACAAUCUCGUGCCUACGUAUCCUUAUGGUGCAAUAAGGAAGUCAGAGCAUUCGUAGUUUGGGGAACUACGGUUUUUUGUUGGUGUCUUUUAAUGAACGACUGUGUAGAUCACGUUCUAAAGGCUAAACGCUGGCUUGUCUACUCUCGGCGGAGGCUUAAGCAUUGGUUUGUGGUGCGCAUUAGAAAGGGUUAACAGUGUUCUUUUGAAAAGAAUUUUUAAGUUGUUGGUCGCACGUGGGCGAGACAUUAAUUUGAUUUGUUAAGGUGUUUUGAAGAACGACGAGAGAUUGAGCAAUGUGGUGUACACCAAUCGUUCAAUUCUUUCGAGGAAUAAUAAGGCGAACGCCUUCUACUCCUUUUUCGUUCGAUUGUUUUGAAAGUUUGUUUGUGGAUGUUGAAUAUGUAUGGUAGUGAGGCGUACGCCUCCUACUUGCUUAUUCAAAGAAUAAUGAGAUGUACGCCACUUAUUCCUUUAUCCAAGUUUAUUUAAAAUGUAUUAAUCGGAAGUCGAUGAUUCAUGCAAUAUGGAGAGUGCCAAUUAUUCAAACAAUCGAGAGAUGGUGAGGCGAAUGCCUCCCAUCUUUUAUCAUCCGAAGUUUAAUUUAAGAAGAAAGGUUUUUAAAUGUUGUAUUUGUUAUAAAAGAUGAUUUGAAUUUAUUCGAUCGCGUUUUAAUUUGAUGACGAUGAUUCGAGCAAUAUGGCGUAUGCCAAUUAUUCGAAUAAUCGAAAGAUAGUCAGGCGAUCGCCUCCUAUCCUUAAUUAUCAGAAAUUUAGAAUUAAAAGAUUUUGGAAUUUGUAGUUGAUUUAGAAAAUGAUUUGAAAUGUUAUAGUCUGAUGUUUUAAUCGGACGACAAGAAGUCGAGCAAUAUGGCGUACGCCAAUUAUUCGAGAAAUUGAGAAAUAGCGAAGCGUACGCUUUCUAUAUUCUUUUUCAUACCAAGUUUAUAAAAAGAUAUAUUUUUAGUAUUACCCUAAUUUAAAAAGAUGAUUUGUAUUUUGUAUGAUUAUUAAGGUUUUAGUUGAAUGACGAAAAUCCGAGCAAUAUGGCGUACGCCAAUUAUUCGAAAAAUCGAGAGAUAAUGAAGCAGAUGCUCACUAUUCUCCUUUUCAUUCAAAGGUUAAUUAUUAAAAUAAGGCUUUUAGAAUUUAUAAAUAAUUUGGAGAAGUGAUUUUUAUUUUAUGGAUUUUUAGGGUUUUAAUUGAAUGACGAAAAUCUGAGCAAUAUGGCGUACGCCAAUUAUUCGAAUAAUCGAGAGAUAAUGAAGCGGAUGCUCAUUAAUCUCCUUUUCAUUCAAAAUUAAUUUAAAUGAUUUUGGAGAGUAUAUUAAUUAAAUAUGUCGAAUUUGAAUUUAUUAGAAUUAAUCGGGUUUUUGAGAAAAGUUACUUGGUGUUGGACCGCGACAAUUAAAUUGUUUUGAAAUAAUAAAAUAUAAAAUGAAUUAUUCCCUUAAUAACAUUGAUAAAUUAAUUAGUUACUUAUUUUAAUUAUGAUCUUCUUAAGGAUGGAAAUAAUAGACUUUGAAAAUAAAGAUCGAAAAAAUCAUGGUGAAGAUAGAAAAACUAUUUUAGCUCUUACUAAACCAUUAUUAUGGUUCUUAUAUCAUCCUAAUACUAACAUAAAAUUGGAAAAACUAAAAAUCAAAUAAGAUGUAGAUGGGGAAUGAGAAGCAAAAUGGGGUUUGAAGUUUAAACAAACCAUAGGGCCUACAAGGCCCAAGGACUUUGUCUUUGCGAAUUCAGGUUGGGCCUUAAGCCCUAAACCCUUCUCACAUGCUGACCUAGGCGGUCACCAAGGGGAAGAGGAAACGUUUUGCCUCCGUUAUCCACCAACCAUUGCGAACACGUGGCUAUGAAUGAUGAUCUAUCAUUACCAAAUGGCCAACCGGCAGUGAAUCGCUCCCUUCAAAUGCUUAAAGAAAAAACGUUGUUAUCUCCCUUAAGAUCUCAACAGCCCGCAGAAAAACGCUUCCGGUUCCCCGUCUGCCUUCUCUUCUUCCUUAGCCUAUUUAUCUAAUCCAAACUCUCUUCUCUGUUAGUAAAAGAAAACCUUAAUCCAACAAAUUAAAACAACAACAAAAGCGAUCCCUUUUUUUUACCGAUUCAAACAUACGCAAGCGAAAACUUAAGAGUCACAAAAUAACCAAACAAAUCACAGCAAUAUGGUAAGAGAUACACAAUAUUUCUACAAAAAGGCAUAAGGAUUAAUGCAGAAGGAAGUGAUAUAAAGUUCUCCGGAAAAUAGAGUUUCCGACGAGUGUACCGGCGAUAUGACCCAACCUCGAGGUAUUUUGAUUUCUUC
rnacentral:lncRNA from 1 species